rnacentral:rRNA from 1 species
CCUACGGGGGGCAGCAGUGAGGAAUAUUGGUCAAUGGACGAGAGUCUGAACCAGCCAAGUAGCGUGAAGGAUGACUGCCCUAUGGGUUGUAAACUUCUUUUAUAUGGGAAUAAAAUGUUCCACGUGUGGGAUUUUGUAUGUACCAUAUGAAUAAGGAUCGGCUAACUCCGUGCCAGCAGCCGCGGUAAUUCGGAGGAUCCGAGCGUUAUCCGGAUUUAUUGGGUUUAAAGGGAGCGUAGGUGGAUUGUUAAGUCAGUUGUGAAAGUUUGCGGCUCAACCGUAAAAUUGCAGUUGAAACUGGCAGUCUUGAGUACAGUAGAGGUGGGCGGAAUUCGUGGUGUAGCGGUGAAAUGCUUAGAUAUCACGAAGAACUCCGAUUGCGAAGGCAGUUCACUGGACUGCAACUGACACUGAAGCUCGAAAGUGUGGGUAUCAAACAGGAUUAGAUACCCCUGUAGUC